rnacentral:rRNA from 1 species
UACGUAGGGUGCGAGCGUUAAUCGGAAUUACUGGGCGUAAAGCGUGCGCAGGCGGUUGUGUAAGACAGGUGUGAAAUCCCCGGGCUUAACCUGGGAACUGCAUUUGUGACUGCACGGCUGGAGUGCGGCAGAGGGGGAUGGAAUUCCGCGUGUAGCAGUGAAAUGCGUAGAUAUGCGGAGGAACACCGAUGGCGAAGGCAAUCCCCUGGGCCUGCACUGACGCUCAUGCACGAAAGCGUGGGGAGCAAACAGG